rnacentral:rRNA from 1 species
UACGGAAGGCAGCAGUGGGGAAUAUUGCACAAUGGGCGCAAGCCUGAUGCAGCCAUGCCGCGUGUAUGAAGAAGGCCUUCGGGUUGUAAAGUACUUUCAGUCGUGAGGAAGGUGUUAAGGUUAAUAACCUUAGCAAUUGACGUUAGCGACAGAAGAAGCACCGGCUAACUCCGUGCCAGCAGCCGCGGUAAUACGGAGGGUGCGAGCGUUAAUCGGAAUUACUGGGCGUAAAGGGCACGCAGGCGGUUAAUUAAGUUGGAUGUGAAAUCCCCGGGCUUAACCUGGGAAUGGCAUUCAAGACUGGUUAGCUAGAGUCUUGUAGAGGGGGUAGAAUUCCGAUGUGUAGCGGUGAAAUGCGUAGAGAUGUGGAGGAAUACCGGUGGCGAAGGCGGCCCCUGGGACAAAGACUGACGCUCAUGUGCGAAAGCGUGGGGAGCAAACAGGGAUUAGAUACC